CCUACGGGAGACAGCAGUAGGGAAUUUUCGUCAAUGGGCGCAAGCCUGAACGAGCAAUGCCGCGUGAACGAGGAAGGUCUUCGGAUCGUAAAGUUCUGUUGAAGGGGAAAAAGAGCGGAGAGAGGAAAUGGUCUCCGAUUGAUAUUACCCUUCGAGGAAGUCCCGGCUAACUACGUGCCAGCAGCCGCGGUAAUACGUAGGUGGCGAGCGUUAUCCGGAAUGAUUGGGCGUAAAGGGUGCGUAGGCGGCCUGCUAAGUCUGGAGUGAAAGGUACCGGCUCAACCGGUACAGGCUCUGGAAACUGGCGGGCUAGAGAGCAGGAGAGGGCGGUGGAACUCCAUGUGUAGCGGUAAAAUGCGUAGAUAUAUGGAAGAACACCAGUGGCGAAGGCGGCCGCCUGGCCUGUUACUGACGCUGAGGCACGAAAGCGUGGGUAGCAAAUAGGAUUAGAUACCCCAGUAGUC
rnacentral:rRNA from 1 species